AUUUAGGGCAUUUUAAUGUUAGAUCGUAGUUUGCAAGGCACCAUAACUCUAGACGCACAUACACGUUUUACAUCAGCCCUUAAUUCCCAUUAGUCCCGCAAAUCUCAACGUGGAUGUAUCUAACCCUCGUAUUUUUGCGCCUUUCUAUGGCUUGCAAGUCCUAGUCAUUCGGCGGACUCUCAUUACGAUGCAGAGCGCUUGGGGUAGAUGAAUGCCUUCCAGCCUGCAGAGUCUGAAAUUUGAGGAAAUUUACCCGAACGGAGACAAGGACACACGUCCCAACAUGCAGUGUUCCAUUUCAGGGCCAAGUCUGUCAUUUCUACUGGCACCACUAUGAGAAGUGCUGGUGCUAAAGUAUGUUUGCUUUGCUGAAUGCUUCCCUUUUGAGGUCUGCAGACCUUAUGUGAAGGAAAGUCCAUUGACGGCUUUGCACAACACUUUCGUUAUUUCCAUGGCUCGUUAGAAUAUUAGUCACAGGAGGGAGCCCUACAGAUUUCUCCUGGGACCACUUUUAUUUAGCAACGUGGUGUACAUUUGUGCCUUGGAUAGUAGGAGCAGAAUGUUUGCAUAAUAAACAUUUCAUUGUUUCGAAAGAGGAUGUAAGCAUAUUGAAUUGACAAAGUUUCAAGCUAUCUCCAGGAUAUUUUGAAUCAAUAUUAAAAUGUCUUUACAGCCAGUAUACUUUUACUACUGUGGUUUCAAUAAAUGUGCUCUGAACGGCCUAAA